AUGGAGAGAAAGAGGCCAGUGAUAAAGGAAGUGGAAAUAGGAAUGAGGGAGGACAUGGGAAAGAGGUCAUCUGUGGUAAAUGUAAGGAGAGUGAACAUGUCAGUAAGGACUGUAGAAACAAUGUGUUCUGUGUGGUUUGCCAGAGAGGAUCCCAUCGUACUGAAGAUUGCACAAUUCUCAGACAACCAAAACCAGUGGCAAGUGGGAUAUGGAGCAAAAGGUUUGGGAUGUUUGCUGGUGCAAAACACUAAGGAGAUAUCUGCAGUGGAACAUGCCAAUCCAAUGGCUAUAAUUACAGUCUCUUCUGGAAUGCUCAAUGAGACAACUUUGGUUCAGGGGAUGGCUAGGAUGUUUGAUUGGGGGUGGACCUGGAGGGCCAAAUUCCAAAGCCCCAAGACCUUUCUAGUCAGAUUUCCCAAUAAAGCCAAGUUAGUGGAGUUAAAGAACUUUGAGAAAUUCACACUCCUUGGUGCAAAAGCAAUGAUUGAAGUGGAUUUCUGGAACCCUGAUGAUAAAGCUAAAGGAAAGUUACAUACUGUCUGGGUGCAAAUGCAUGGGGUGCCAGCCUCUCUGAGACAUUUCCUAGGAAUUUGUGAAAUUGGAUCUGCUCUGGGACCAGUUGUAGAAGUGGAUGUUGAGCAUAUUCACAGCAGAGAGGAGAUUAGACUGAAGGUUGGGGUCAGAGAUCUACACAAAAUUCCAUCUGGGACUGAGAUCACUACAAAAGAUCUACUGUUGUAUGAUAUUGAGUUCUCCCUGGAAUCAGUGGCAGAACAAGGAUGGUACAAAAUUGUAGAGGGAAAGAAAAGAAAAGUCUUUGAAUAUAUUAAUUUGGAAGAGCUUGCUAACAAGAAGGAUAGUGAGAAAAAGCUGAAGGGUGACCAGGAAGAAAACAGGAAAUCUGGUGUGCCCUGGGGAGGGAUGUCCUUGACCCAAUAUGAAAAGGUAGUGAAUAAUGAGAACACAAAGGGAAACAAUGGAGGGGAAUGCAGCUACAACAAACAACAAGAGGAAGAGAAGAUGUCAGAGGGAGAGAAAAAACUGCUCACAAGGCUGGAAAUCCUGGAAGAGAUAACUGCCAGACAAGCUGCUCAACUGUGUGCUAAAGAAAGAAAAAGGAGAAAAGGAGAAAAAUUAAAGCAACCUUGGAAAUGGAGAUCAAAAGACAACAUGAUCUGCUUCAGAAAAGAGUCAAUAAAAAAAUGGGGGCAGAGGAGGAGUCACAACCUGUGA
rnacentral:rRNA from 1 species